AUGUACCUCAUCAAUCGGAGGGGUUUCCUUCCGGUUGAUGAGGUACAUGUACCUCGUUGACCGGAAGGAAACCCUUCCGAUCAGUGUGGUACAU
rnacentral:miRNA from 1 species